rnacentral:rRNA from 1 species
AGUGAACGCUGGCGGUAGGCCUAACACAUGCAAGUCGAACGGCAGCACAGUAAGAGCUUGCUCUUACGGGUGGCGAGUGGCGGACGGGUGAGGAAUACAUCGGAAUCUACUUUUUCGGGGGGGAUAACGUAGGGAAACUUACGCUAAUACCGCAUACGACCUACGGGUGAAAGCAGGGGAUCUUCGGACCUUGCGCGAUUGAAUGAGCCGAUGUCGGAUUAGCUAGUUGGCGGGGUAAAGGCCCACCAAGGCGACGAUCCGUAGCUGGUCUGAGAGGAUGAUCAGCCAGACUGGAACUGAGACACGGUCCAGACUCCUACGGGGGGCAGCAGUGGGGACUAUUGCACAAUGGGCGCGAGCCUGAUCCACCCCUACCGCGUGGGUGAAGAUGGCCUUCGGGUUGUAAAGCCCUUUUGUUGGGAAAGAAAAGCAGCAGGUUUAUACCCCGCUGUUCUGACGGUACCCUAAGAAUAAGCACCGGCUAACUUCGUG